GGGGGGUCCUCUCUCCUGAAAGUCAGGGAGCUCCAGCGCCUCAGCCUGGCAAUGGGAGGCUCAAUCUGCAGGGAGCAGGGUGAGGCUGUUACUUGGCUCUCCCACCCCAGAGCCAGCUGCACCUUGGCGCCAGUCGAGCUGAUUCCUUGGCGCGCUCCCGGAACAACUCAAGGGCCUGCGCUG